AUAUUGGCCUCUCACCUUCUUUCUCCUCCUGUUCCUCAUCACCAUUUCCACCAGCAGCACCGCCAUUUUCUUCCUUCUUGUCUCCAAUCUUCAACCCCUUUAACCCAUCAUCCACACACCCUUUCUCUCUCUCUUUCUCCUCCACAUCACUACCACCCACCACCACCUUAUCCCCGCCCUCCCACACAACGCCACGUCCCUGCACUUCCGUCUCCGUGUCUACUCCCACCAAAGUGUCCAGCAUAGCCGAGUCCUGUGACCCACCGAUGACCUCAUCAGUCAAGCCUUUGGCCUCUGGCCAAGGGUCCUGAACACAAUCGUCUUCUUCAUCGUCAGAGAAUAAAGAGGCGGCGCCUGAUUUGAUGGCAGAGGCAGCUUUGAAGAAAGCUUCUUUAAUGGACUC
rnacentral:misc_RNA from 1 species